ncrna:Streptococcus pseudopneumoniae 5247 skipping-rope RNA
GACAUUUGAGGGCAGAAAGGUUCCUGCCACACCUUGCAAAAGGGUAUCUGAGAUGCUGGGUACACCGACCAGCCAAAGGGUC